AUCAACUUUCGAUGGUAGGAUAGAGGCCUACCAUGGUGGUGACGGGUGACGGAGAAUUAGGGUUCGAUUCCGGAGAGGGAGCCUGAGAAACGGCUACCACAUCCAAGGAUGGCAGCAGGCGCGCAAAUUACCCAAUCCCGACACGGGGAGGUAGUGACAAUAAAUAACAAUACGGGGUUCUUUCGGAUUUCGUAAUUGGAAUGAGUACAAUUUAAAUCUCUCAACGAGGAACAAUUGGAGGGCAAGUCUGGUGCCAGCAGCCGCGGUAAUUCCAGCUCCAAUAGCGUAUAUUAAAGUUGUUGCAGUUAAAAAGCUCGUAGUUGAAUUUCGGAAUCGACGGAUUGGUCGCGCCUUCGGUGUGUACUGGUCUUGCCGGUUUCUCCCUUCUGACGAACCACGAUGUCAUUAAUUUGGUGUCGUGGGAAAUCAGGACUGUUACUUUGAAAAAAUUAGAGUGUUUAAAGCAGGCAUUAGCUUGAAUACAUUAGCAUGGAAUAAUGAAAUAGGACGUUUGAUCUUAUUUUGUUGGUUUCUAGGAUCGACGUAAUGAUUAAUAGGGAUAGUUGGGGGCAUUAAUAUUCAAUUGUCAAAGGUGAA
rnacentral:rRNA from 1 species